UACGUAGGCAGCAAGCGUUGUUCGGAGUUACUGGGCGUAAAGGGUGUGUAGGCGGUUAUUUAAGUUUGGUGUGAAAUCUCCCGGCUCAACCGGGAGGGUGCGCCGAAUACUGAAUGACUUGGAGUGCGGGAGAGGAAAGUGGAAUUCCUGGUGUAGCGGUGAAAUGCGUAGAUAUCAGGAGGAACACCGGUGGUGUAGACGGCUUUCUGGACCGUAACUGACGCUGAGGCGCGAAAGCUAGGGGAGCAAACGGG
rnacentral:rRNA from 1 species